UUCACAGGAAACAGGCUAUGACCAUGAUUACGCCAAGCUUGGUACCGAGCUCGGAUCCACUAGUAACGGCCGCCAGUGUGCUGGAAUUCGGCUUCCUACGGGAGGCAGCAGUGAGGAAUUUUGCGCAAUGGGGGAAACCCUGACGCAGCAACGCCGCGUGAGUGAUGAAGGCCUUAGGGUCGUAAAGCUCUGUCAGGUGGGAAGAACCCACUAUGUAAGAAACGACAUAGUGCUGACGGUACCACCGAAGGAAGCACCGGCUAACUCCGUGCCAGCAGCCGCGGUAA
rnacentral:rRNA from 1 species